AGCGAACGCUGGCGGCAGGCCUAACACAUGCAAGUCGAACGAACUCUUCGGAGUUAUUUGCGGACGGGUGAGUAACACGUUGUAACGUUCCUUUUUGUUCGGAAUAACUCAGGUAAACUUGUUCUAAUACCGAAUGUGCCCUUCGUGGGUAAGAUUUAUCGCCAUUAGAGCGGCCCGCGUCUGAUUAGCUUGUUGGUGAGGUAACGGCUCACCAAGGCGAGGAUCAGUAGAUGGUAUGAGAGGAUGACCAGCCACACUGGGACUGAGACACGGCACAGACUAGUACGGGAGGGAGGAGAGGGGAAUAUAGCGAAAUGGGGGAAAGGCUGACGAAGCCAUGGGGGGUGAAUGAUGAAGGUCUUAGGAAAGAAAAAUUCUUUAAAAGGGGAAGAUAAUGACGGUAACGGGAGAAGAAGAAACGGCUAACUACGUG
rnacentral:rRNA from 1 species